AUUGAACGCUGGCGGCAGGCUUAACACAUGCAAGUCGAGCGGAGAUGAGGUGCUUGCACCUUAUCUUAGCGGCGGACGGGUGAGUAAUGCUUAGGAAUCUGCCUAUUAGUGGGGGACAACAUUCCGAAAGGAAUGCUAAUACCGCAUACGUCCUACGGGAGAAAGCAGGGGAUCUUCGGACCUCGCGCUAAUAGAUGAGCCUAAGUCGGAUUAGCUAGUUGGUGGGGUAAAGGCCUACCAAGGCGACGAUCUGUAGCGGGUCUGAGAGGAUGAUCCGCCACACUGGGACUGAGACACGGCCCAGACUCCUACGGGAGGCAGCAGUGGGGAAUAUUGGACAAUGGGGGGAACCCUGAUCCAGCCAUGCCGCGUGUGUGAAGAAGGCCUUAUGGUUGUAAAGCACUCUAAGCGAGGAGGAGGCUACUGAGACUAACACUCUUGGAUAGUGGACGUUACUCGCAGAAUAAGCACCGGCUAACUCUGUGCCAGCCGCCGCAGUAA
rnacentral:rRNA from 1 species